rnacentral:rRNA from 1 species
UGGCUCAGAACGAACGCUGGCGGCAGGCCUAACACAUGCAAGUCGAGCGCACCUUCGGGUGAGCGGCGGACGGGUGAGUAACGCGUGGGAAUAUGCCCUUUGGUACGGAAUAGUCCUGGGAAACUGGGGGUAAUACCGUAUGCGCCCUUCGGGGGAAAGAUUUAUCGCCAAAGGAUUAGCCCGCGUUGGAUUAGGUAGUUGGUGGGGUAAUGGCCUACCAAGCCGACGAUCCAUAGCUGGUUUGAGAGGAUGAUCAGCCACACUGGGACUGAGACACGGCCCAGACUCCUACGGGAGGCAGCAGUGGGGAAUCUUAGACAAUGGGGGCAACCCUGAUCUAGCCAUGCCGCGUGAGUGAUGAAGGCCCUAGGGUUGUAAAGCUCUUUCAGCUGGGAAGAUAAU